UUUAUUUCUCUCUUGAUUCCUUGUGCUGAGGAAGACAGGUAGUUCCCAAAAUACAUCAUCAUAUCUCUUGCAUGCUUUGCCUUAACAUCCCCAAAGAUUGAUCUGAAGGUCUUUCUUUGGUUGUAACUUGGCUUUUGGAUAGGGUUAGAAAAAAAGGAUGGCAUGAGGCCCAAACGACACUUGAAGUGGGUUAGGACUUACAACUUUUGGAAUCGACUCAAACAAUGAGGAUUAACUUAUGCCCCAGUUUCUUUUGACUGGGUGAUUCUAAAUUUUUUAUUUGGUUGGACCGAGCCCUUAGUAGGGCAGCCUACGUAUCUCACCCCCGAGAGAGGAGAAUCAGGUCACGCGUAG
rnacentral:lncRNA from 1 species